AUGCUCACGUGCAUCGCCUGCUCCAGGCAGCUCGGCGGCGGCGGCGGGGUGCCGCCGCUGCACGAGCCGACGGAGGACGAGGACGCCGUCGAUGCCGGCGCGGGCGUGGGCGGCGCUGCCACGCCUAGCGCCCGGCAGGCCAUCAAGGCGCUCACGGCCCAGAUCAAGGACAUGGCGCUCAAGGCGUCGGGCGCGUACCGGCACUGCAAGCCUUGCGCCGGCUCCUCCGCGGGGGGCUCGGGGCGGCACCACCCGUACCACCACCGCGGCGGCAGCGGCUUCCGGGGCUCCGACGCCUCCGACCGCUUCCACUACGCCUACCGGCGCGCCGCGGGCGGCGGCUCCAGCGGGGAGGCCACGCCAUCCAUGAGCGCGCGCACCGACUUCCCCGCCGGCGACGAGGAGGAAGAAGAGGAGGAGGACGGGAUGUCAUCUGGCGGCGGCGGCGGCAAGGAGGACAACGCCAAGGAGUGGGUGGCGCAGGUGGAGCCCGGCGUCCUCAUCACCUUCGUCUCGCUGCCGCAAGGUGGCAAUGACCUCAAACGCAUCCGAUUCAGCCGUGAGAUGUUCAACAAAUGGCAAGCGCAAAGAUGGUGGGCUGAAAACUAUGACAAAGUUAUGGAACUUUACAACGUGCAGAGGUUUAACCAUCAAAGUGUUCCUCUCCCUACUACUCCAAAGUCUGAAGAUGAGAGCUCCAAGGAGGACAGCCCGGUAACACCACCACUGGACAAGGAGCGAGUGCCUCGUUCUUUACAGAGACCAACAUCGGGGGGCGGAGCGCUGGGUUACUCUUCAUCUGAUUCUCUUGAGCACCAUUCUAACCACUACUGUAACGGUCUCCACCCUCACCAUGGGCACCAGUGCUAUGAUUCAGUGGGGCUGGCAUCGACACCGAAGCUGUCAAGUAUAAGUGGGGCCAAGACAGAAACGUCAUCGAUGGAUGCGUCGAUGAGGACGAGUUCAUCUCCAGAAGAGGUUGACAGGUCCGAUGAGCUCUCGGUGUCCAUCAGCAACGCAAGCGACCAAGAGAGGGAAUGGGUUGAGGAAGACCAGCCUGGUGUAUAUAUUACCAUCCGGGCUUUGCCUGGUGGCAUCAGAGAACUCCGCCGUGUUCGAUUCAGCCGAGAGAAGUUCAGCGAGAUGCACGCGAGGCUAUGGUGGGAAGAGAACCGAGCGAGGAUACAUGAACAGUACCUCUGA
rnacentral:rRNA from 1 species